UUAAAUUUUUACUUCUACACCCCACGUGAAGUUGUAGAUGGUAUUUUUAUAAAUUAAUAACUCAUUUAUUAAACCUCCUAAUGAAUUCAGGCUUUUAAUUUGUUAUUUAAACAUCUAUGUAAAUCGAGAGUAUUUUGCUAUCCCUUACUGUUUGUAAAAGACUAAUGUUUUUUUUUUCAAAAGAUAUGGCUCUCAUAACGUUUAUGUCUGAAGGACUUCACUGAUAUUUGUGCAGCAAAAACACAGAAGAAACCUGCAGGCUUUUAUUUAUGGCAACUCUCUACACAAUACACAGAUUAAAAGCUGUUAUUAAAAUCAUUUAGUAAAUUGAUUCCAUUGCAUCUUUGUUACGGUUGUUUAGCUGUUUAGAAAAAAAAAUAAUCGAUCCAUUCAAACAUAAUACAAAUAUUCUGAUAUCCUUCUUAUAUUUAUUUUAAUGAUAUUUAAAACGUUUUGAUCGAUAAAUAUUUUAUUUGAUUUUGAUAUUGAUUGUUUGGCUGAUUGAUUGAUUGAUUGAUUGAUCGGGAAUUUACUCGUAAAGACUGCUUGAUAUUUUGACGGCCCAUUCAAAAGUUUUUCACGCACGCGGAGACAUGACAAUACAUGCUCGGAUGUAUACAGCUUAGAAAUCGUUGUUUGGCGCAUUAGAACUAUUCAACCGUCGGGGUUCAUUAUCUUUAAAUAAAUUUGUCUGAUUUAUAAAAGAUUCAGAUCACGUUGCUAAUCAAGAAUUAGGUGCCUAUUUAAACAUUUUGUUUAUCCCAGUGUUACUCCUUGAUGAUUAUUUUUUAGUUCUCUAAACGUUUCAAUAUUGGACCACAAUGUUGUGCCUUUAAUAAUCUCAGGAGAGCCAUUAUCCCCAUCAUUAAGACCCCCCCCCCCCCCCCCCGACAAUCAAAGAAUAGGCUCACCAAGAUUGUGAAUGUAUUUUCUAAUUGUCAACUAUAGGGAUUACAGUAAUGUUUGAUUGUCAAUGGUUGGUUGCUGAAGAAUGUAUUUUCCAAAUUAUUACGGUGCUAUGUAGGCGCCUUAUUUUGGUCUGAGCUGUGUUCUGAAUACAUUUUGUUGUAUAGUUACAUACAAAUGGCUUGAAUGGGAGUUUCAACAACAAAUACCAUGAAUAAGAACCAGUAUCUAUUAAAAUCCCCAUGCAAAUAUAUGGUAUAAACUGUUUUAAGCAAAAUGUAUGUUGACUUUGAAAAAUAAUGAUAGUGUCUUGAAUAAGUUUCAUACAUUUUUUAGGAAAGUAGGAUGAACUGUUUAUUAUAUGUUUAUGUAAUUACAGAAUGUCUUUGAUUUGAUUUUAAUUGUUUACCAUCAUUUGUACGUUAUAAAAUGUCAUAAUAAAAUGUAACAGAUGUAAUGUU
rnacentral:sRNA from 1 species